rnacentral:rRNA from 1 species
GGACUACUCGGGUAUCUAAUCCUGUUCGCUCCCCACGCUUUCGCUCCUCAGCGUCAGUACCGGCCCAGAGUGCCGCCUUCGCUACUGGUGUUCCUCCCGAUAUCUGCGCAUUUCACCGCUACACCGGGAAUUCCACACUCCCCUACCGGACUCGAGUCACAGCAGUUUCGAAUGGCCCCUCCACGUUAAGCGUGGAGAUUUCACAUCCGACUUGCCGAACCGCCUACGAGCUCUUUACGCCCAAUAAUUCCGGACAACGCUAGGCCCCUACGUAUUACCGCGGCGGCUGGCAC